rnacentral:lncRNA from 1 species
UCAUGUGUUACAUGAUAUGGCCUCAAAUCACCCCUUAUCCUCAUCUCUCCAUCUGCACUCUUUCCUGGCCUCACCUGCCCUCCCCCCACACCCCUGUCCUCCCCAUAAGCACCUCAGGAAAUGUUCCCAACUUUAGCCUUUUGCCUAGAAUGUCCCCCAGAUAUGCACAUGGACACUGUCUUAGUAAGUGUUUCUGUGGCUGUGGUGAAACACCAUGACAAAAAGCGACCCAGGGAGAAAAGGAUCUAUUUUCCUUAUACUUCCCAAUCACUAUCUGGUGACUGAAGGAAGUUACAACAGGAACCUGGAGGCAGGAGCCAAGGCAGGCAGGGUUCAUGGCCACUGAGGCAGAUGAUCAGAGUGAGCCUCGGUGUGCAACUGUAGCAUUUCGUUAGGUAUCCAGCAUUUAGCCUGGAUACAAAGUUGGAAUGGGGAGAGUUUUGGCUGUGUUAGAAUGGGGCAUUUCAUAGGGGUGACCUUGAAGGGUACAGGGAGGGCUCCAGAUGGAUUAACUGGUGUCUUAUAUCCCCUCCUCACACCAAGUCUUCGAGGACAGCCAGUUUGGGGCUGAGCUUCUUUGACCGAUUCUUCCAGCAAUCCCUAAAAAUCUAACUCCCGUGAACCCUAGCAGCCUCCUCUUCUUCCUCUCCCCUGCUGCUGUCUGGUGAAGACCAUUUCCUUCCAUCAGUGUGGCAUGAGUGCCUCAGCACCAUGACAUAUGAGGUUGGUGUGUCCAUAUGUUUGUUUUAGCUAUUUUAUUGGGUCUUUUAUUUACUACCCUUCUGAUCCUUAUUCCACCUUAAUCCCAACACACCCCCCCCCACAUGAGGUGAGAGAGAAAGAAAGUUAUCGGGGGAAAGGGGUGCACAGACCUUUUUAAACUACUUCCUGCUGAUUGGGGACAUCAGGUUCCUAGGGGCAAGUCCAAUCUUAGGCAUUAGGGCAUCUGGCCAUCCAGCAGUAGCAAACCAGCAAUCCAGCAAAGGCAGCAGCAGGGGGAGCAGCAGUCAUCACAGGCCCUGUCAGGGCUCUCCCAUUUAUACUCUCUCCAGAGUCUCCAGAAUUAACUAUCUGCAGCAGGCAAAGAUCACACCCCUGCUAGUGCAUGAGACAAAUCAUAAUCACCUGCUGUGAAUCAGCCUCUUAUCCCAAACCUGAGAUUAAAACACAAACAUAUUCACAUAAAGUAACUGGGUUUUUAAAGAAACCAGAACUCUCACUACACUGGCUGUCAUAGGCCCUUGCUCAUAGGCCAACCGGGUAGGCUGUGGCUUGCUGCUGAGUUAGUUCUAUGGAGCACAGACUUAGAGCCACAGUGCCUCUGCUACCUGUCUCAUGGCUUUGCUGUUAGCUUUGUGGUCUCAGAAAAGUUACGUGGGCCACCUGACCUCAGUUUACUUCCUUCAGCAAGUGGGACUGAUAAGAGUGCCUACUGUUGUGGGAAAUACAUGAAUCUUAGUUAAAAUGUGCUCAGAGUAUGGCUUAGCCUAUAGUAGGUAUGCCAUGUGUUUGCCUCUAUUACCAUUCUCAUUUUUAUUGUUCAUUGUUACUCUGUAGCCACUACAAUAAAGGGACUUAGGUGUACUAGGAUCACCAAAUAAGAUACCUAGGAAGGGCUCUUGGAAGAGGACAAUGAACUGAAUCUCUAAGGAUGACUAGUGUAUAUCCUAGCAAAGAAGAUAUAGAAACUGUUGCAAGAAAAUAUGGUAGAAGCCAUAACCAAGAAUUGGCAGAAGAAGGUGAGCUACCACACAGGCCCUGACAGUGUUGUAGUGUCCCAUUCCAGGUAGGGGGCAGUGGGGGUAGCAGAGAUGUCUCACAGUCAGAAUGUGGCUAGUCUUAAUCAGCUCAGCACCUCUUGACCUGGUUAGCCCAGAUCCCACUCCCCUCCCCAACUCUGGACUCCGCCUGGCCUUGAAACCCAGGUACCUACCAAAUGUUCUUUCACUGUGUUGUCCACAAUAUGGAGAGGAAAGCACGUGGCUUGAGCUGACCAAUCAUAAGUUCCUCGGGAUUUCUGCCAGACGGCAGCAGAAUGCAGCUAUUCCCUUAUGGUGAUUCUGGGAAGAGUGAUUCUGGGCCAUGGGAGGCUUUUGCCCUUGUAUUAGGCCCGGCCCUUGAGUUCCCAAGAGUCCUGAGAUCAUCCGUUCCAGGAAAGUCCCUGUGUCCUUUCCUUCUGUGCUAUGAAUGUUCCCAAUAUCCUGCCCACAUACCUUUAUUUAUUU